GCUUGGGUAGCUCAGUUGGUAGAGCACUUGCCCGCAAAAGGCAAAGGUCCCGAGUUCGAGUCUCGGUCCGGCGCA
rnacentral:tRNA from 1 species